ACUCAAAGGAAUUGACGGGGGCCCGCACAAGCGGCGGAGCAUGCGGCUUAAUUCGAUGCAACGCGAAGAACCUUACCUGGGCUUGACAUCACGUGAAAACUCGCAGAGAUGCGGGGUCCUUCGGGGCGCGUGACAGGUGGUGCAUGGUUGUCGUCAGCUCGUGUCGUGAGAUGUUGGGUUAAGUCCCGCAACGAGCGCAACCCUUGUUCCAUGUUGCCAGCAUUUAGUUGGGGACUCAUGGGAGACUGCCGGGGUCAACUCGGAGGAAGGUGGGGAUGACGUCAAAUCAUCAUGCCCCUUAUGUCCAGGGCUGCACGCAUGCUACAAUGGACAGUACAAAGAGCUGCAAUACCGCGAGGUGGAGCGAAUCUCAAAAAGCUGUUCUCAGUUCGGAUCGAAGUCUGCAACUCGACUUCGUGAAGUUGGAGUCGCUAGUAAUCGCAGAUCAGCAACGCUGCGGUGAAUACGUUCUCGGGCCUUGUACACACCGCCCGU
rnacentral:rRNA from 1 species